GGCGGCGCGCUUAACACAUGCAAGUCGAGCGAGAACCAAGACCUCNGGGUUUUGGGGACAGCGGCGAACGGGUGAGUAACACGUGAGUAAUCCACCCUUGGUACCGGGAUAGCUCGGGGAAACUCGAAUUAAUACCGGAUAGCCCAUUAGCCUUUCGAGGCGAAUGGAAAAGGUAGCUUCGGCCUCCGACCAAGGACGAGCUCGCGGCGGAUUAGCUUGUUGGCGGGGUAAUGGCCCACCAAGGCGACGAUCCGUAGCUGGUCUGAGAGGACGAUCAGCCACACUGGGACUGAGACACGGCCCAGACUCCUACGGGAGGCAGCAGUGGGGAAUCUUGCGCAAUGGGCGAAAGCCUGACGCAGCGACGCCGCGUGAGGGAAGAAGGCCUUCGGGUUGUAAACCUCUUUCAGAAGGGACGAAGCCACUCGGGUUAAUAGCCCAGAGGGUGACGGUACCUUCAGAAGAAGCCCCGGCUAACUACGUGCCAGCAGCCGCGGUAAUAC
rnacentral:rRNA from 1 species